rnacentral:rRNA from 1 species
CACGUAGGGCGCAAGCGUUGUCCGGAAUUAUUGGGCGUAAAGAGCUCGUAGGCGGUUUGUUGCGUCGGCUGUGAAAUCCCGAGGCUCAACCUCGGGUCUGCAGUCGAUACGAGCAAACUAGAGUGUUGCAGGGGAGACUGGAAUUCCUGGUGUAGCGGUGAAAUGCGCAGAUAUCAGGAGGAACACCGGUGGCGAAGGCGGGUCUCUGGGCAACAACUGACGCUGAGGAGCGAAAGCGCGGGGAGCGAACAGG